rnacentral:lncRNA from 1 species
UUUCUUAACCCUUCUCUCCUUCCUGCCCUCUCCUCUCCCCAGGCGCCACCCAUCUCCCUCGUCACCGUCGCCGACCUCUAGCAACCCUGCUCCAGCCGGCAAAGCUCCAGUCAACCCUAUUUUUUCUCUCCCUCCCUUUCCUAACUUGCUACCAAAGCUAUAAUGGUCGGCCUUGCCGCCCCCGAACUGCCGCCACCGCCGCCAUCCUAACGGACCUACAGCGACCUUCUCCGGCACUACCCAUCAGCCCCAAAGCUUCCCUAAGCCC